CACACCCAUACCACACACUCCCGUGACUCCCUCUCUCUUCCUUCUCUCAGAUUUUCUUCCAUUUCCUUUGCAAGUGUACGGACGAACUUCAAAACCAACCUUUCACGCACAGAUCGACGUCUAGAAGGUAAGAUUCGAACUCCUUGCAAGCUCUUGAGUUCAUCCAUACCAUUUUUAGAACUUGAAACCCUCGAAAACCCUAGAACCUGAGAACCCAAUUUUCAUGCACUGUUCAUGCACUAAUCAUCGUGAAGGUUUCAGUGGAUUUUAAGGUCUUAGAGAGCUUUAGAAUACUCUCACGAAGCUCAGGGAACAAGUUUGAAGGAUUUUGGACGUCAGGAUAGCAAGUUCUAAGGUUGGCCGGAUUUUGCGAGGUUUCUCCGGCGAGAUUCUGUGAAUUUCAGGGCUUCAAAGUGGUGAGAUCUAUUCUGAGGACGAGCGCAGUCACUCAAGGCAAGAGGGUUACAACCCUUCCACAUAUCAGUUCUAGUUUGGUUUGCUCUUUUGAUGGCUUACGAGGAAUCCACGGCAUAUCUGACAGAUUAUCUCCAGUGUAGGACCACCUCUGUGUGUGUUUAGUUAGUGUUUAUUCCUCUGGACUGCAAUAGGUUUUCUGUGCUCUGAAUAUUGUUUUUCACAUUUACACUUGCACUUGUACGUUAACUACAUUGUUUUGUAGUUUGAUUUUUAUUUAUUCAUACUUUUAUUAUUAUA